CCUACGGGAGGCAGCAGUAGGGAAUAUUGCUCAAUGGGGGAAACCCUGAAGCAGCAACGCCGCGUGGAGGAUGAAGGUUUUCGGAUUGUAAACUCCUUUUGUUAGAGAAGAUAAUGACGGUAUCUAACGAAUAAGCACCGGCUAACUCCGUGCCAGCAGCCGCGGUAAUACGGAGGGUGCAAGCGUUACUCGGAAUCACUGGGCGUAAAGAGGGCGUAGGCGGGAUAGCAAGUCAGAUGUGAAAUCCUAUGGCUUAACCAUAGAACUGCAUUUGAAACUGUUAUUCUAGAGUAUGGGAGAGGUAGGUGGAAUUCUUGGUGUAGGGGUAAAAUCCGUAGAGAUCAAGAGGAAUACUCAUUGCGAAGGCGACCUGCUAGAACAUAACUGACGCUGAUGCGCGAAAGCGUGGGGAGCAAACAGGAUUAGAUACCCCUUGUAGUC
rnacentral:rRNA from 1 species